rnacentral:lncRNA from 10 species
AGACGGAGUCUCACUCUGUCACCCAGGCUGGAGCAGCAGAAUUGCUUGAACCCAGGAGGCGGAGGUUGUAGCGAGCCGAGAUAGUGCCACUGCACUCCAGCCUGGGCGACAGAGCAAGACUCCGCCUCAGAAAAAAAAAAAAAAGAAGAAAGAUCCCAAAGCUUUCAUCAGUUUCUCUGAGGUUGAUGAUUCCCCAAAAUGUAAGGACCCCACUGAUCUUUGAGGAGUCAUUAGCAGUGAGAAUUCUCAGGUGAGCUUCUGCUGAAAAAAUUCUUCUGCUUUCUGAGUGGUAAGAUUUUCAGGCACCAGCACACUGCCUGGGGACCCUUCUGUUGCCGACUCUUCUGUUGCUCUCCAUUCACUUUGUAUAGGGUUUCCAACACUGAUUCAUUCCUGCCAUCAUCUCAGGUGACUGUGGCACUCACACAAAGGUUGAAGCAGCUUAGUGUAGUAGUGGAAAGAUUCCUGGGAUUUGUGAGAGGGGGACGGUCCUGACUCUGCUCCAGGUGAGCUGUGUGUCCUUGGACCACUUCUUCUCUGGGCCUCAUUUUUCUGCGUUUGUAAAUGACGGGUUUCGAUAAGAUAGUCUACAGGGUUCCUUUUUUAAUUUUUAAUUUUUUUUUUUUGAGACAGAGUCUCAUUAUGUUGCCUACGUUGGUCUGGAACUCCUGGGCUCAAGUGACCCUCCCUCCUCAGCCUCCCAAAGUGCUGGGAUUACUGGCGUGAGCCACUGCGUCUGGCCCAGGGUUCCUUUCAGCUCCAGAAUGUGAUGUU